rnacentral:rRNA from 1 species
AGAGUUUGAUGGUGGCUCAGGACGAACGCUGGCGGCGUGCUUAACACAUGCAAGUCGAACGAAAAGAGGGAAAGAGCUUGCUCUUUUCAGAAUUGAGUGGCAAACGGGUGAGUAACACGUAAACAACCUGCCUUCAGGAUGGGGACAACAGACGGAAACGACUGCUAAUACCGAAUAAGUUCCAAGAGCCGCAUGGCCCAUGGAAGAAAAGGUGGCCUCUACCUGUAAGCUAUCGCCUGAAGAGGGGUUUGCGUCUGAUUAGCUGGUUGGAGGGGUAACGGCCCACCAAGGCGACGAUCAGUAGCCGGUCUGAGAGGAUGAACGGCCACACUGGAACUGAGACACGGUCCAGACUCCUACGGGAGGCAGCAGUGGGGAAUCUUCCGCAAUGGGCGAAAGCCUGACGGAGCAACGCCGCGUGAGUGAUGACGGCCUUCGGGUUGUAAAACUCUGUGAUCCGGGACGAAAAGGCAGAGUGCGAAGAACAAACUGCAUUGACGGUACCGGAAAAGCAAGCCACGGCUAACUACGUGCCAGCAGCCGCGGUAAUACGUAGGUGGCAAGCGUUGUCCGGAAUUAUUGGGCGUAAAGCGCGCGCAGGCGGCUUCCCAAGUCCCUCUUAAAAGUGCGGGGCUUAACCCCGUGAUGGGAAGGAAACUGGGAAGCUGGAGUAUCGGAGAGGAAAGUGGAAUUCCUAGUGUAGCGGUGAAAUGCGUAGAGAUUAGGAAGAACACCGGUGGCGAAGGCGACUUUCUGGACGAAAACUGACGCUGAGGCGCGAAAGCGUGGGGAGCAAACAGGAUUAGAUACCCUGGUAGUCCACGCCGUAAACGAUGGAUACUAGGUGUAGGAGGUAUCGACCCCUCCUGUGCCGGAGUUAACGCAAUAAGUAUCCCGCCUGGGAAGUACGAUCGCAAGA